CCCACGUCCUUAGUUACCAGCAUUAGUUGGGUACCCUAAGGAGACUGCCGGUGAUAAGCCGGAGGAAGGUGUGGACGACCUCAAGUCAUCAUGGCCCUUACGGGUUGGGCUACACACGUGCUACAAUGGCAUCUACAGUGAGUUAAUCUCCAAAAGAUGUCUCAGUUCGGAUUGGGGUCUGCAACUCGACCCCAUGAAGUUGGAAUCGCUAGUAAUCGCGGAACAGCAUGCCGCGGUGAAUACGUUCCCGGGCCUU
rnacentral:rRNA from 1 species